rnacentral:rRNA from 1 species
CAGCCGCCGCGGGAAAACAGAGGGUGCAAGCGUUAAUCGGAAUUACUGGGCGUAAAGCGCGCGUAGGUGGUUCGCCAAGUUGGAUGUGAAAUCCCCGGGCUCAACCUGGGAACUGCAUCCAAAACUGGCGAGCUAGAGUAUGGUAGAGGGUGGUGGAAUUUCCUGUGUAGCGGUGAAAUGCGUAGAUAUAGGAAGGAACAUCAGUGGCGAAGGCGACCACCUGGACUGAUACUGACACUGAGGUGCGAAAGCGUGGGGAGCAAACAGGAUUAGAUACCCCAGUAGUCCCUGUCUCUUAUAC